rnacentral:rRNA from 1 species
CCUACGGGAGGCAGCAGUCGAGAAUCAUUCACAAUGGGGGAAACCCUGAUGGUGCGACGCCGCGUGGGGGAAUGAAGGUCUUCGGAUUGUAAACCCCUGUCAUGUGGGAGCAAAUUAAAAAGAUAGUACCACAAGAGGAAGAGACGACUAACUCUGUGCCAGCAGCCGCGGUAAUACAGAGGUCUCAAGCGUUGUUCGGAAUCACUGGGCGUAAAGCGUGCGUAGGCUGUUUCGUAAGUCGUGUGUGAAAGGCGCGGGCUCAACCCGCGGACGGCACAUGAUACUGCGAGACUAGAGUAAGGGAGGGGGAACCGGAAUUCGCGGUGUAGCAGUGAAAUGCGUAGAUAUCGAGAGGAACACUCGUGGCGAAGGCGGGUUCCUGGACAUUAACUGACGCUGAGGCACGAAGGCCAGGGGAGCGAAAGGGAUUAGAUACCCGAGUAGUC